rnacentral:rRNA from 1 species
GAGGUAGUGACAAGAAAUAACAAUACGGGGCUUAAUGUCUUGUAAUUGGAAUGAUGGGAAUUUAAACCUCUUCCAGAGUAUCAAUUGGAGGGCAAGUCUGGUGCCAGCAGCCGCGGUAAUUCCAGCUCCAAUAGCGUAUAUUAAAAUUGUUGCAGUUAAAAAGCUCGUAGUUGAAUUUCUGCUGCAUUUCAUUUCUCUUUCUGAGUUUGUUUUUGCGGCUUAUUUCGGUUUGAUUUUUUCUUUCCGGAUGAUUACUUUGAGAAAAUUAGAGUGCUCAAAGCAGGCUUUUGCCUUGAAUAGUUUAGCAUGGAAUAAUAAAGUAGGACUUUGGUUCUAUUUUGUUGGUUUUAGGUACCAAAGUAAUGGUUAAUAGGAACAGUUGGGGGCAUUCGUAUUUAACUGUCAGAGGUGAAAUUCUUAG